CUCCACCUGUGCAGUUUUGUCGCUGGUAAACAGUAGAGAACUGAGAAGAAGGAAACUGAAUGUAUAAUAUGUUUAAAGACAUUGGUAACGAAAUGGGAUGUUCGAAUUUUGGAGAUGAUUUCACUGUUUGGAAAAGAGUGAGGAAUCACCAAGACAUCCAACGAUCAGGGCCAGAACCAGCACUUCCCAGUCUCCCAGUGACCCCAGGCAGAAAAAACUUACUCUUCCUGCAGUAAAGACACGGGGGUUGAUGGAACAUCAUGCGGAGAAGGCACAGUUGAUUCUACUGAAUACACCACUCAACGAACCCAAGAGCCCCCACCACCCAGACUGCAAACAUCGGUGAUGGAUUACUAAUUGUCCUGCUCUAGAUGCAUCGGGGUGUCGCCAGCUGCAGAGCUUGAGACCAGUGAAGUGGCUGGUUGCCAUCGUCCCUCCAAUUUUGUUCCAUUUCUGCCCGCCUUCUUGCACUUUCUUUUGCUGCACAUACAUAAAACAAAGUAUUGGCUUUGUACAAAGCCAGUACAUGACUUGUUCUCAGUACUUAUUUGCAUGUGUCCCUGUGCAUGGAGCAGAGCACUCUGUGCCAUCUUCUGGAGGGGUUCUGCUGGGUGAGAGAAUAAAUCCACAUCCCUGGGGGUUCUUCAGUCAAGCUGGAACAUCAAAAAUGUCUUUGAACCAUACCUUUCAAUUGAUACAGUUUGUUUUUCUUUUGUAAAAUUUGACAAAUGCAACAAAUAGACUUGUUAGAUCAGAAUCGAUCAAUAC